UACGUAGGGGGCAAGCGUUGUCCGGAAUCAUUGGGCGUAAAGAGCGCGUAGGCGGCCCUGUAAGUCCGCUGUGAAAGUCAAGGGCUCAACCCUUGAAUGCCGGUGGAUACUGCAGGGCUAGAGUCCGGAAGAGGCGAGUGGAAUUCCCGGUGUAGCGGUGAAAUGCGCAGGAUAUCGGGAGGAACACCUAUUGCGAAGGCAGCCUCGCUGGGACGUCACUGACGCUGAGACGCGAAGCGUGGGAGCAACAGG
rnacentral:rRNA from 1 species